UGUAAUUUACACGAGGUUUAUUGAUAGGAACCAGUGGACUGGGGUCAAAACUCAUAUCCCACGCAGGGGCAGUGGAGUUUGACCCCAAGUGGUUGGGAGAAGAGUUAUUUAAAGGAAGAAACCACAACCCAAGGGGGUAGAGAGGGCGUCAUUGGAAAAUGUUGACAAUACCAGUGAAAAAUCACAAGGAGGAGCUUCCUGUUUCUCAAGAUUGUUUAACUUUAUGUUCUGCCAGUUCCUGGGAGAAGCUUCCUGCUUCUCAAGAUUGUUCUCUAAGAUUUCAAUCUAACUUUAUGGUCAGCUAGUUCCUGGGAGAAAGUUGUCGAACCGGCUGAUGUAAUUACCCAUCUAUAGUCCUAGGAGAAGCUUCCUGGAACAUACAAUUCCAGGGCCUAACUGGUUUUUUCCUUCUACUCUGAACCUUUGGGGUGGGGGGGCAACCUUAAAACUUCUACCUUUUACAAGUUUCUGGAGGGGAAACUGGGAAACAUUUAAAAUGUAAAUUAAAAAGGGGGGAAAGAAACUUAUUUUUUAUGUGGUCUCUGUAACGUACAUAGAUGUAGAUGAAAAAAAUCCAAAAGAGGAAUAAAUAUUCUUAGGUAUGAAUAUCAUUAAGGAUGGAAGGGGUUUUUUUUAUUGUUUUGGGGGGGGGAGUUUUUGGUUUGUUUGUUUGUAAGUUUUAAGGACAGGUUCAGAGGUUCAGUUGAUUAUCAUCAAGGAAGGAGCCUAGGAGCAUCCAGGCAUGCAUGGUGCAGGAGGAGCUGAGUUCUACAUCUUCAUCCUAAGGAAGCCAGGAACAUACUGAGCAUCCUCAGGCAGCUAGGAGGAGGGUCUCCAAGCCCACCCCCACAGUGACACACUUCCUCCAACAAGGCCACACCUUCUAAUAGUGCCACUCCCUGGGCCAAGCAUAUGCAAGCCAUCACAUUCCACUCCUUGGCCUCCAUAAGCUUGUUUAAACACAUGAAUCUAUGGAGGCCAUACCUAAACUUAGAAUAAUAAAAAAAAUACACUUAAUUCAACUACCAAAGUCCCCACAGUCUAUAGCAGUAUCGACAAUGUUAAAAGUUCAAAAUUCAAAGUCUCUUCCAAGAUCCAUCUAAUCACUUAACUGUAAUCCCCAAAUUAAGACAGGCAACCAGUUGGGCAAACUUCAGCCUCUGCCAUCUCCAUGUCUGAUGUCAAAGUGGUCUUCAGAUCUUCAAUGUCGCACCCACCUCGGCUGGCAAGGAAGACGCAACACGGUUGGAUUCUUCUCAACAGCCUUUACUGCAGGACACCUUCAUUGUUGACACGGGGACCUUGAGCGGCAAAAGCACUCACCUUAUAUACACAACAGUAUGCCUUUGUGAAUUUCUAUGCACCACACGUAUACAAGUUUCUUCAGAAGGCAGUGGGGUCAUCUGGAACUAGAGUUACAAUUACUUGUGAAUUCUCUGAUGUGGCUGGGAACUGAACCUAGGAAUCUCCGUAUGAACAGCACGUCCGGCCCUGCACAUCCGGACUCUGACAAUGAGCAACCUUUAUGAAACUCUAGUUCUACAGUGGAAGUGCUUUCGCCCGAUUCUCGGUACCGUGUCGGUGCAGGCGCCGACACCAAGGUAGUAUGGCUGAUCAGACUGGAGCAACGCCACUGUAAUCUGAGAAGAUGUCAGCAGUAAUGACACAGACCAAUAACUCUGAGGAGCAAGCAACAUUUAGAAGUAAUCAAUUUUCCAUGAGCAUGAGGGAAACACUCCCCAUGCAGCCUGGUGUCACUCACCACAAGGCAAGGAGAACUCCCAAGUCUGGUAUCAAAUGGUAACUGGUGCAUCAGAAAUACAAAAUCUACACUGUGUCCUGUCUGUAA